GAGUGAAAAAGAACCUGAAACCGUGUACGUACAAGCAGUGGGAGCCCCACCACUAAGCCAGUGGUGAACUCCACAUACGCAUCCUUUGCUGAGGAUACGGUUAACGGAGCGAAAGCGACGUUCAACCUCAAAAGAAGCAGAGGGGGCUUAGUGGUGGGGUGACUGCGUACCUUUUGUAUAAUGGGUCAGCGACUUAUAUUCUGUAGCAAGGUUAACCGUAUAGGGGAGCCGUAGGGAAACCGAGUCUUAACCGGG
rnacentral:rRNA from 1 species